UUUGCCCUUGAGCACAAGGCAGAGACACAUUUAAAAUCAUUUGGCACCCUACAGCAGGUGUAAGAAUCUCUUUAGAAGUGGCCGUCUGAUAAGAAGGACUGAUAUCUGACUUCAUGACCUCAUCAUGAGAUUGUCUCUGGUUUCACAGAUUCUGCUGGUGUUCAUAUCAGUUCUGACACUGACCAGGGCACAAACAACAUCUGCAUCAACACUGGCAGGUAAUAUAGACCUUUAUAAGAACAAGAUCACAAAUUCUCACAAAUUGUUUUUUUUUUACACUCAAUCCAUUCGCCUCAGUUUGUGUGGGGCCGGUGUAACAUCUUCAUGUGAUUUAAAGUUUUAUCAACUCUGAAUUAAAAAUGGCCAUUUUAAACUGUUUAGCUCUUCUCUUAUAGCCACUUCCUGAUUUAUGCAGAUCAACAACCUUUUGUCACACAUCAUUUCUGUAUUCUGUCUCUCCCAUAGUGAUGGAUGAGGAAUCUGGCUAAUGCAUCACCUCAUAUUUAGAGCAGGAAAUCAUGACUUACUUAAGUGUUCCUAAUCACUUAAAAACUUACAGUAUGAUUAGGAAUACCUUCAUUCGAUUUUAAGAAUUUCUAGGGUUGACAAUUUCUGUUGUUUUUACAGAAAAAAAAAAAAAAAUGGUUGCUGUAUUUGCCAGAAUAAUCGAGUAAAAAAAUACAGUAAAAUGUAAACAACAUUUACAGAACGACUGUACAUUUUACAGUUUAAAACCGAUAAAUCCAAAAGCCCUUUUCUGCUGAAUGAGCAAGGCCAUGUUGUUCCUUAAAUCUGUUUUGUACUUUUUACAUUUACUGACAUUCACCAUAAUAACACUGCUGGUAAAGAGAAAGACACAUGAUAAAGUUCAUCACAAGCAGCUUUUCCACAAGCAGAAGUAAAUACUAAUAUACAGAAGGUGCAGACAAUGUUAUUCACACAAAACACACCAUCACAUUAACACACAACACUAAAAUAAUGCAAUAUACAUUCAUUUAGGAACAUAAGAUGUAACAUAAAACCCUAAUGUACGUAACUGAUAACAAAAACUUAAAAACUUAAAAAUAAAAUUAAAAACCAUCAAAUGUGAUGCAUCACACAGGGAAUUCUGGGAAUGUCAGUUUUUGGCUUUUCACUGGAAAUUAUAAGAUUAAUUGUUCUUUUUACCUAAGACUUUGUACAUUUAACAGUUUUUUACUGUAAAGUCACAAAAUGUAAGGUUAGAUUGAUUAUUAUUUUUUUCUGUAUAUAACUUACUGUUAACAGUGACUGUUAACCGUAAACUUACUGUUAAAGGGGGCUGUAAAAAAAAAUCACGUAUUAAUCUUGUUUUUUUUUUAUUGCCAAUAUGUGAAGUGUGUGAAAAAAUGAGACCUUCCUUGACUUCCUAGGUUGUCUAUGAAAGCCUGUAGACUGAUUUAUGGGAUGGACUCAGGUUGUUUUUGCCGGGAAAAUCAAAAGGAUGUGACGUUUACAUGCACUCCUGAGAGCCUCUUUUCAGUUCUGUGACACAUGAAAUGAAUGCUUAUACAACAUUCAGGAUAAUGCCGAAAGAGCCAUUCUAUACUGUACUGUCAAUGUGUCAUGCAAAGAAAAGGGAUUAAUUCAAACUAUAGUCUCACAUAGCCAGAUCUAUAUAGUGAGUCUACAGGGAGUGCAGAAUUAUUA